CCUACGGGUGGCAGCAGUCGAGAAUCAUUCACAAUGGGGGAAACCCUGAUGGUGCGACGCCGCGUGGGGGAAUGAAGCUCUUCGGAUUGUAAACCCCUGUCAUGUGGGAGCAAAUUAAAAAGAUAGUACCACAAGAGGAAGAGAAGGCUAACUCUGUGCCAGCAGCCGCGGUAAUACAGAGGUGUCAAGCGUUGUUCGGAUUCACUGGGCGUAAAGCGUGCGUAGGCUGUUGCGUAAGUCGUGUGUGAAAGGCGGGGGCUCAACCCGAGGACGGCACAUGAUACUGCGAGACUAGAGUAGAGGAGGGGGAGCCGGAAUUCUCGGUGUAGCAGUGAAAUGCGUAGAUAUCGAGAGGAACACUCGUUGCGAAGGCGGGUUCCUGGACAUUAACUGACGCUGAGGCACGAAGGCCAGGGGAGCGAAAGGGAUUAGAUACCCGUGUAGUC
rnacentral:rRNA from 1 species